UCUCACUGAUAAAUUAAGUAAAUAAGUAGCUGGAAAUUCACAGGAGGAAUCGAUGGCACUAAACAGGACAAUCACAGUGGUUGCAGGCUGUGUGAACCAGGCGUGUAGUUACAUUUCUAGGAAGGUGCACAUCAGGUUAAGCUGUACGUUAUGGUGUAGGAUUUUAUAGGGUUCUGGGUAUCUAUAGCCCUAGUAAGCCAUGCACAGCUGAAGCCGAAAGUCACUACAGAGGGGUGUACUACCAAGUAUGUUCAUAGCCAGGAUUACUUUGUGUAAGCUAGCUUCACAAAAGUUAAAGGUCCACUCAGAGAUAAUAGGUAUCACACUGGUGGGCAUUGACCAUCUUUGUUCAACCGGGCUUUGUGCUUCAGGUUCUCACAUAAAAAAGGUCAUUUGACACAUCAUUGGACUCCUCUUCAAAAUGGAUUGGCUGAAUCAAUCGGAGAUGUUAUCAGAGAAACGGAUAACAGGGACGUAAAUGUAACAAUAUGGUGGGGAAAAGAGGAUAUUAACACUUGCUGCUCUGUGUUUAUUUCUACCUUAUAGCUCCAACUCUAAAACUUUAAACUGGAUGCAGUGAAACAUUAAAGGUUUCUCACUAUGGUCAGUUAAAACACUGUCUCAAAGUCAUGUGGAGUCAUGUGUAUAAAGGGCAUUUGGAAAUCACCUUUUAAUCACUUUUUGUUGCCUGAUCAAAGAGACACUAAUUGUAUUGAAUGCACCUGUAACUUGUAAGUUCAAAACUGCAUGCCAGUAGCUGCAAGUCCAGCUGUGUAAAUGACAUUCAGCAGCAGAUAAGGACCAACCAUUCAGUCUGCUUGACCUAGAACUGAUUGUGCCACUCGUUUUUGUCAACAUUACUCAUGCAGUAAAAAUAAAGAUGGAGCACUCCCACACAGAAGGUCGGGGUAAAGCUGCGGCACAAGCAGGCACAGACCCCAACGAGGACACUGAGGAACACCAGUGCCAGAGACACCAAGGGCAGCAGAAACUGGCACCUCCACAAGUCUGCACAACAAUCAUUGCAGCUGACCACCGCCUUCUUCUUCGCCUGUUUUUUCUUCUUCGUUUGAUGGAAUGAGUUUGUGCAUUAUGGCCACCUUCUGCUUCGGAGGAGAGGUGUCGCGAAAUCUGAUGAUAAUCCCAGUGCCAGCCCAUUGACAAAAUCCUGGAAACACUCCGGCUGUGGGAGUUAAAGGUGCCACCAUAAACUCCAGAAUACCCAGUCUGAAU